AGAAGACCUAAUGGCCUUCCUGUCAGAAUCUUUAAAUUAAAAAAUUCAAAUCUUCUCACUAUCGGCUGUGACUUCAGAGACAAGGAAAUCAAUUACUUCAAUUCAGCUGAGGAUGCGAAGAGCUGCUGUUCAUCAUGGAAGAAGUAGACGUUUGCAUUUUUGUGAAGGCAUCUUCCGAGGCCACGUUCCCAGUCUGUUCCCUUGGGUGGGAUAAGUGCACAUGCCCAAGGAGGUGUUGGUGAAGGAGAGACUCAUGGCAGCCAAAGGCAACCACCAUCUGAGCUCAGCUUCACCUCCUUCAUAGCCCAUGAAGAGAAACAGUGAAUUCUGGAGUGUGAAGCAUCUGCCCUAAUGUAGCCAUCUGUCUUGGGAUGAGACGGAUCACAGCCCUAUUGCUCUAGAUUGACUGUAAUGGGAGAGUAUCACAAUUAGUGGGAUGGAUGGCAAUACUUUGGAGCCUAAUGGUGGACAGGAUGGACACCUCCUUUGAUUACUUGUGUUGGAGGAGAAGCUGCUUCUACUAUGUGACAUGUCUGAAAAGGAUCACUGACAGCUUUGGCUUCAAGUGUGCAUGAAAAUCUAUCUAUUCUCCUGGAUGGCUGGUGGCACAGUGAUCUCAAGGCUGGAAAAAAAUCCUGACGCAAAAUAAAUACCUAAAAAUGGGCAGAGACGUAUUUAUGGGGCUGAGAGUGGAUUCACUCAGUCCUUUUUGAAUAUACU